GACCUCAAGUCAUGUGAGAGUACCCGCUGAACUUAAGCAUAUCAAUAAGCGGAGGAAAAGAAACUAACAAGGAUUCCCCUAGUAACGGCGAGUGAAGCGGGAAGAGCACAAAUUUAAAAUCUACCUGGUUUUUAGGUCGAGUUGUAAUUUGAAGAUACGUUUUUGACGUUCUGGGUUGGACUAAAUCCUUUGGGAUAAGGUAUCAUAGAGGGUGAGAAUCCCGUAUAUACCAACCGUAGGGAUGUUAUUAAAUACGUUUCUAAGAGUCGAGUUGUUUGGGAAUGCAGCUCUAAAUGGGUGGUAAAUUUCACCUAAUGCUAAAUAUAAGCGAGAGACCGAUAGCGAACAAGUACAGUGAUGGAAAGAUGAAAAGAACUUUGAAAAGAGAGUUAAAUAGUACGUGAAAUUGUUGAAAGGGAAACGAUUGAAGUCAGUCAUGCUGGUGGGAAUCAACUUAGGGGAAACUCUGGGUGCACUUCUUCGCUUGGCAGGUCAACGUCGAUUUUGAAUGUCAUAAAAUAAUUGGGGGAAAGUAGCUCCUUCGGGAGUGUUAUAGCCCUUGAUAGAUGUGAUGUUUGAGGUCGAGGAUUGCAACGGAUACCCUUCGGGGCUAGCUGCCUGAUCUCUAAUUGGUGUUGGGUUACGGAUAGCAUGCUGACCGUGAUCUAAUUACUGGUUAAAAGGUUAGAGUGUGCAUAAAUUCGUUAAGGACGUUGACGUAAUGGCUUUAAACGACCCGUCUUGAAACACGGACCAAGGAGUCUAACAUGUGUGCGAGUGUUAGGGUAUUAAACCCAGACGCGAAAUGAAAGUGAGUGUAGGUGGGAUCCUUUAUUGGAGCACCAUCGACCGAUCUUGAGAUUUAUCGAUAGAAUUGAGUUAGAGC
rnacentral:rRNA from 1 species